UCCGUUAGUGCGGUUCCCUGGGGGCUCCUGCGAAGCCUCUCACCCGAGGCACUGACGGGGGCGUAGUGAGAAAACCCAACAGAACCAACUCCCCAAACAGCCCCCUGCGACCGGUCACGUUAGGAUGACCAAACCACCGGGGGUGAGGGUGGGGGUGGGGAUGUGGAAGGGCUGACGGUGGAGAGGAGGCCGAGUCGCUGGGUGCUUUCGGGGUCACGGUGACAUGGUAGCUGGGCCGGGGGCCGAGGACCGUGCUCAGAAGCAGCGGCGGCGGCGCCCUCCAGGGUCCUCCGUCCUCAGUGGCUUCUGCUGCCUGCGAUGCCAGCCGGUCGACUGGCUUCCAGCCGUAACCUGGGCUCCCAACGCCUGUGGCUUUGGAAGCUAGAGCUUUCAGUGGUCUGGGGACUUUCUCUGGGGGCGCCGGCGGGAGGCUGCCCGACACCGGUCCCCUGUUUCCCGCAUGGAAAGUGAACUGGCUGUGCUUGUGCUGCGGAAUGCUUUAUCUUGCCCUUUUCGUAUUCCGAUAUGACACCAACGAUCGCCGGGUCGAUCGGGAACUUCCCUUUCCUCUUUGAAUCCGGAUUCCCCGAGGAAAUGCUUGUGCGACUGAGAGGCUUGGUAAUUCUGUUGGUGAUGAUUUAUAUUUCGGCUGUGAAGUCAAGCCGGCCCCCACCCCUUAUCUCUGAAACCGGCUGCCCUCCGUUGGGAAGAUGCCUGGCCUCCUCCCCCAGAAAUAGGAAAGUAGAGUGGAAAUUGAUUUCUUGCAGAGACUGAGGCGCCGAAAGAUACCGGGAAUAAACAUUUGCCCUGGAUCAAAAUGUUCUUGGCUGCAUUCCAGCUUGAUGCACUAAAGAAGUUUUCUUUCAGACCACUCGUGUUAUCCAGAGUGUGAUUUCUGUGCAUGUCUCUGGGUUUUCCUGAGGCUGAUCAGUGCUGCUGGGGGAUCUGAGGCCCACAUGAGCAGGCUGGUCUCAACUCCUUCACUUAACCUCUCACCCCUGGGAAAGCAUUCUGCAAAGAGAACACGCUCUCUAAGUAUUUAUUUAGUAGAUAAAUUUAAACAUCUGCCUAGAAUUUCUUUCCUUAACAUUCUUACCAAAGCUCUAUACAUUCACUUUUUACCCAGCAUUGUGAAACAUUGUUAUUAAAUUGCAUAAUUUCUCAAUAUAUUUGACUUGUGUUAUUUAUGUCCACUGCUUGUCCAAAUGAUGACACUUGCCAUUGUACUUGAUUUUAUAUUU